AUUGAACGCUGGCGGCAUGCUUUACACAUGCAAGUCGAACGGUAACAGGCCGCAAGGUGCUGACGAGUGGCGAACGGGUGAGUAAUGCAUCGGAACGUGCCCAGUCGUGGGGGAUAACGCAGCGAAAGCUGCGCUAAUACCGCAUACGAUCUAUGGAUGAAAGCGGGGGACCGUAACGCCUCGCGCGAUCGGAGCAGCCGAUGUCAGAUUAGGUAGUUGGUGGGGUAAAGGCUCACCAAGCCGACGAUCUGUAACUGGUCUGAGAGGACGACCAGCCACACUGGGACUGAGACACGGCCCAGACUCCUACGGGAGGCAGCAGUGGGGAAUUUUGGACAAUGGGGGCAACCCUGAUCCAGCAAUGCCGCGUGCAGGAAGAAGGCCUCCGGGUUGUAAACUGCUUUUGUACGGAACGAAAAGGCUCUGGUUAAUACCCGGAGCUAAUGACGGUACCGUAAGAAUAAGCACCGGCUAACUACGUGCCAGCCGCCGCCGUAACAC
rnacentral:rRNA from 1 species